AUUGAACGCUAGCGGGAUGCCUUACACAUGCAAGUCGAACGGAGUGGCGAACGGGUGAGUAAUGUAUCGGAACGUGCCCAGUAGCGGGGGAUAACUACGCGAAAGCGUACCUAAUACCGCAUACUAUUGGAGCGGCCGAUAUCGGAUUAGCGAGUUGGUGGGGUAACUGGUCACCAAGGCGCCGAUCCGUAGCCGGUUUGAGAGGCCGACCAGCCAAACGGGGACGGGGAAACGGCCCAGACUCCUACGGGAGGCAGCAGUGGGGAAUUUUGGAAAAUGGGGGAAACCCGGAUCCGGCCAGCCCGCGUGGGCGAGGAAGGCCUUCGGGUUGGAAAGCACUUUUGGCAGGAAAGCGGUACCUGCAGAAUAAGCACCGGCUAACUACGUGCCAGCAGCCGCGGUAAUAC
rnacentral:rRNA from 1 species